rnacentral:miRNA from 1 species
UUCCUCUUCAGCUCCCUCGCGCACCGCACUGAUACCGGAGUCGGAAGAUGACGUCAUCUUCCGGCUCCGGCAUCAGUACGCGGCGCGCGAGGGAGCUGAAGA